rnacentral:rRNA from 1 species
AGAUUGAACGCUGGCGGCAUGCCUAACACAUGCAAGUCGAAUGGGAGUAGCAAUACUCUAGUGGCGGACGGGUGAGGAAUACGUAGGAAUUUGCCCUUAAGUGGGGGAUAACCCGGGGAAACCCGGAUUAAUACCGCAUGACCUCGAAAGAGCAAAGUGGGGGAUCGCAAGACCUCACGCUUUUGGAGAAGCCUACGUCGGAUUAGCUAGUUGGUGAGGUAAUGGCUCACCAAGGCGACGAUCCGUAACUGGUCUGAGAGGAUGAUCAGUCACACCGGAACUGAGACGACGGUCCGGACUCCUACGGGAGGCAGCAGUGGGGAAUAUUGG